rnacentral:lncRNA from 1 species
GACCACCCUUUGCCUUCAAAACAGCAUCAAUUCUUCUAGGUACACUUGCACAAAGUCAGGAUUUUGUAGCUGGGGGGGGGGGGGGGGGGGGGGGGGGGGGGGGGGGGGGGGGGGGGGGGGGGGGGGGGGGGGGGGGGGGGGGGGGGGGGGGGGGGGGGGGGGGGGGGGGGGGGGGGGGGGGGGGGGGGGGGGGGGGGGGGGGGGGGGGGGGGGGGGGGGGGGGGGGGGGGGGGGGGGGGGGGGGGGGGGGGGGGGGGGGGGGGGGGGGGGGGGGGGGGGGGGGGGGGGGGGGGGGGGGGGGGGGGGGGGGGGGGGGGGGGGGGGGGGGGGGGGGGGGGGGGGGGGGGGGGGGGGGGGGGGGGGGGGGGGGGGGGGGGGGGGGGGGGGGGGGGGGGGGGGGGGGGGGGGGGGGGGGGGGGGGGGGGGGGGGGGGGGGGGGGGGGGGGGGGGGGGGGGGGGGGGGGGGGGGGGGGGGGGGGGGGGGGGGGGGGGGGGGGGGGGGGGGGGGGGGGGGGGGGGGGGGGGGGGGGGGGGGGGGGGGGGGGGGGGGGGGGGGGGGGGGGGGGGGGGGGGGGGGGGGGGGGGGGGGGGGGGGGGGGGGGGGGGGGGGGGGGGGGGGGGGGGGGGGGGGGGGGGGGGGGGGGGGGGGGGGGGGGGGGGGGGGGGGGGGGGGGGGGGGGGGGGGGGGGGGGGGGGGGGGGGGGGGGGGGGGGGGGGGGGGGGGGGGGGGGGGGGGGGGGGGGGGGGGGGGGGGGGGGGGGGGGGGGGGGGGGGGGGGGGGGGGGGGGGGGGGGGGGGGGGGGGGGGGGGGGGGGGGGGGGGGGGGGGGGGGGGGGGGGGGGGGGGGGGGGGGGGGGGGGGGGGGGGGGGGGGGGGGGGGGGGGGGGGGGGGGGGGGGGGGGGGGGGGGGGGGGGGGGGGGGGGGGGGGGGGGGGGGGGGGGGGGGGGGGGGGGGGGGGGGGGGGGGGGGGGGGGGGGGGGGGGGGGGGGGGGGGGGGGGGGGGGGGGGGGGGGGGGGGGGGGGGGGGGGGGGGGGGGGGGGGGGGGGGGGGGGGGGGGGGGGGGGGGGGGGGGGGGGGGGGGGGGGGGGGGGGGGGGGGGGGGGGGGGGGGGGGGGGGGGGGGGGGGGGGGGGGGGGGGGGGGGGGGGGGGGGGGGGGGGGGGGGGGGGGGGGGGGGGGGGGGGGGGGGGGGGGGGGGGGGGGGGGGGGGGGGGGGGGGGGGGGGGGGGGGGGGGGGGGGGGGGGGGGGGGGGGGGGGGGGGGGGGGGGGGGGGGGGGGGGGGGGGGGGGGGGGGGGGGGGGGGGGGGGGGGGGGGGGGGGGGGGGGGGGGGGGGGGGGGGGGGGGGGGGGGGGGGGGGGGGGGGGGGGGGGGGGGGGGGGGGGGGGGGGGGGGGGGGUGCACACAACAAGACAAAGGUAUUUAUACUGCAUCAGCAAGGUCUCUCCCAGGCAGAAAUUUCAAGGCAGACAGGGGUUUC